UUCGGUAUUUCACCCUUGGAGACACUGCGCGCAAGGAGUUGGCAAAGGAACGAACGUCGGCGAGACGACGACAGCGGCGGCCGACCCGGCGCGCGCCGUCGCAGCCCCCGCAAUUGCAGCCGGCCGCGACUGCCAUCCGACUCAACGUCUUCGAGGUCACUGUUACAGUCAACGCCGGGUUAAAGCCCAACGCUGUCGGGAAGAACGCGACGAGACCCCGUAGAUGACGUCGUCUCCAAGAACGCUGUCCAGCUGAGAGGCUCUCUCAAAGUUGCCCGGUCCUCCUUGCCACCGGCGCAACUCCCCCUUCCUCCCCGCCCUCUGGCGACGCGGGCUACGCUGGUCCACCCCGGAUUCUGCGUGAAACGGGGAGGCGAUGGUGGCGCCGCUUCGAGCUCUGACGACGCGCAAGAUGGCUGCGCUGCCAAGGUGACGUCGUCGCCAGCGGCCAUUCCAGCAUGUGACCGAAUGAUUUCACUGCGGAGACGCAGUUAUCGAGACGCUAUGGCGCUCUUGGAAGCGUCGGAUUGUUGCAUCGUAUCAGCUCAGAACAGCUGUCCUGUUCUGCACAUGAAUGUCAUCGCUGCUUUACCUGGAACAGGGACGUAUUGCCAAGGCGCGUCGUGCAACAUGUUUGUGUCCUCGUUUCUUCUUCCAUGAAUACAACUAAGGGACCAUCGCUGAAGCCGGAGCUUACCAGAAUCAGCAAGAAGAAGCUGGGAAGUUACGUUUGGAGUCGCGGAUAUCUUGCGCGCCGUUCCUGCAGCUGAUACCUUCGGCCUUGUACGGCGGCGCCCCGUGGAAGCAGCAAGAAGCCGGGGGUCCGGGCUCGAGUGCGGCGCACACCAGCGACGAGGAGUGGUGGUGGACCGGCGUCGUUGGCCUGGCUGAUCAAGUGGACAGAGGGAAACACGCCGGGGAGGAGAAAAAAAUAGCGCGUGGGGAGGGGGGGUUCCGCGGGCCCAAUUAGAGAAGACAAACUGCCGCGGCGGACUCGGACAAGAAAGCAGCAGAGGGGACACUCUUGUGCUCGCCUCCGCUCAUCCGCCCUGAGUGACAAAGGGCGUCGCCUGUGCCCGGCUAGGCGCGGAGGCGCGCUGCUACUGAUUGGACUGCCUUCGCUGGGAGACCCGCUGCUCUCUUUCGCCUCUCUCUUUCCCUAUACAACUUCCCCCCCCUCCCUUUCCAGUGCUAUUCAAUACGCUUCUUCUGCUCCCUUAAUCAAAUCGAAUCAAAGUCACGAAACCGGGCGCCAGGGGAUGGUGGUAGUAAGGGAGGAGAUGAGUGAGGUUGGAACAAAAGAGGAGAGCAUUGUCGAGGAGGGUAUAGGGAUUUCGUUGGCACAGGACAGGCACCAGCGCGGCUGCUACAAGCGGCUGCAAGGAGACGGCCACUCAUCGAGCGGCGGGAGCAGCGCAAGUUGAGCUCUAGUGUUCUACAUCUACCCUGUAGAUCCGAAUUUGUUUGCCACUAGACUACAAAUUCGGUUCUAGAGAGGUUUGUGUGGUACAUACGAAACGACACACACUGCGAAGAAGACCUUCCGGUUCUUCGACCACCAUGGGCAAUGUGUGUGUGUGCGUGUGUGCUUUGUGUUUGCGAGGCGCGCGAAUGAAUAUCGUGCGCAUACGACACGCACGCGGGUGCCGACCAUGUCCCUGUCUCGAUGAGGAGACGGCUUAAUGAGUGUGAGCGUCUCGGUGUGAUUGUUAAAAAAAAAAUGUUGUAAUAUAUUGUGUUUCUCUAGAAGGAGCAGCGGCAAUAAAGAGACUAGGUUUGCCCGCUGUCGAAGUGCGCGUAAAGGUCUUUACCCGUGAGGAAUCGUUUUUCCGUACGCUUCGUCAUAACGUAGCAAACAGGUGACCUUAAUGUAGUCACGACAAUAACAGUUUAUGUGCUCACUUGCGUAAAGAGACAGUAAAGAGUAUCAAUAAGUUUCACUGUAUUGGUAAGUUACUCUUCUUUUAUAACAAAACAAACCGAAAAAAAAGUUAAUAUACAGAAGACGGUGACGCCGCACUGAAGUUCUUGAAACGUCUUCCCGUGACGUCAUUGAUUUGGCAUCGCGCGCUUGAGUCUGCUUAACGAACCAUCAGUAUAAGAGCGCUGCAGUUAAAGAAUCAACGUAGCAGAUUUCGUGAAGUUUUAUGCGCCAAAAUCACUCAAACACAAGCAAUACUUUGAUAUCCAUUACCCAAUUACGUGUCAGUUUUGAGGUUAUGGCGCGAAAAAAAAAAAAGAAAGGUUUCCUUUUAAAUUUCUCAAUAAUAAUCUACAUUGGUGUUUUUUUUCGGCGAAAUUUACGCAAGUGAUGUCUUGAAUAUCUUACCAGUCUAAACUUAUUAGUAUCGGUUGUUAUUGUUCCCUUUACAAAUAAUUAGCAGCGAUCCAGCAAACUCUAUUGAUAACGAUAAGUAGAAAUCACAGUUGGGCGAGUUGGUAUAGGGGAUCGCUUUGUUUUUUUGAAAAAUGGUUUUAACUUGGUAGGUUCCGGUACUCGAUUAUAUAUAUGGCCAUUGCUUCAAGGUGUUUUAGGCCUCUGCAUCAGCGAUUUUCAUAGAGCGACUUCGCGACUAGAAGAGAGACAGAAGAAAGGGGAAAGGCAGGGAGGUUAACCAGAGGGGAAUGUCCGGUUUGCUACCCUACGCUGGCGAGAGAGGGGAGGGGUGGUAAAGUGACAAGAAAAUAGAGAGAGAGAGAUAAAGAAAGGGAGCACAGAUAUACAAUCGCAGUCGGUCACUGUCACGGCAUACAUUCACUGCACAGCACAGUAGCACUUUUAGCACUGUAAACAUCAGUUCAGGACAGCCAAUUCUGCAGUCUUUAAAAAUUGCAACAUAGCUCACGUCGCCCUCCGCUGCGAUGUCUUGAGAUGUCGGCGUUCUAAAAUGGUUUCUUCUGUUAACGCUACUAGAAAUGAUUACGAACGCGAUUAUUCUCAUUUGCGUGGUAUUUGCAAGCACUCGAAUGUGAAAAAAAAACUACGCCAAGGAUUCUCCAAUCAGGCUUUCGAAAGCAAAAAAUGAAGAGCUUCGUUAAAACCGGUCGUAUAAUUCCUACGUCUUCCUCCUAACCUCAGCGCGCCCAUGGCCUGCUCGGCGAGCUCGAUGGUAUUCGAAAGUAAUCUCAGCUUAUUUUUUGCCCUUAUCUCUAAAGGACUGUGUUCUUAGUGUCAUUCCGUGUUGGUGUUUUCCUGUGGCGUCGUUUUGAAGAAACGCUAUUGAAUAUCGCUAGCUCGACAUUCCUUCUAUAUAGCAUGUUUCUACAAUGUUUCUAUAGGACAUUGCCCAAACGAAGCGGUCUCGAUACGAGAAAUAUUUUGUUGUUCUUGCCUGCAUGCGAGGUUUAUGGAUUAGGUUUCUAUACAACAUCGUCUUUUUUUUUUACGCUAAAGCAAGGUUGUUACGCAAACAGGCUGAUAUAAAUGUUUAAAUGUUUUAUCGGGGGUGCAAUGCUGGAUCAGCGUCGCGGCAACUGAAACUAUAAUAAGAAGUCACUUCGAGCUCCCACAUCUCGAGAAUGGGACGACCUAUCCGAGUAGCUAGCCACACAUUGGCUAUUCGGAAUAACCAGAAGGCUGUACGUGCAAAUAUGACUAGGAAGAGGCCAAUAAUAAUAGCAAUUUGUGCGAAAGUAUGCUGUCAAGCCACACGGAGAAGCAAUGCGACUUGCAGCAUAAACGGAAUCAUAUUAGCAUAAUCAGUCUACCCUCAGUUGCCGGGAAGCCCGCAGUUGCCGGGAAGCGUCGGGCGCUUUCCAUACGUGAUCAUUUUUUGUGGAGACUCAACUACUUAACAGUCUCGAAAAUCUGUUACAUGAAAAAGUGUUUUUAUACUGCGGGGAAAAAUAAAGAGAGCCGAGAUUACAAAUAUGCCUGAAGUCGCGUAGGAUGAUAUGAUUGUCAUAAUAUAUGCUGUAUGUGCGGCCGCGACUCAUAAUAUAUGCAAUACGUAAGAUAUGCCUCCACAUAUUUCGCGCGAAGGCAGGGCAGUUCACUUUUACAGUUUAUUAACGUUUACUGUCACUUGAUGCCGAAACUUUCUCACGCUUUCCUUUAAAGAUAAUUACAUAAGGCAAGCUAAAGUUGCUUUCGGAUACCAUCGAGCUCACCACGCAUGCAGGUUAUGGGUGCGCUGAGGUUAAGAGGCAGACGCAGGAAUUAUACGGCAGGCUUUAGGAAAGCUCUUGAUUUUUGCUUUCACCUGAUUGGAGAGUCGCUGGCUUAAUUUCUUCACAUUUGGGUAGCCGCAAAUACCGUGCAAAAUUAGAUUAGCCGCGUCGAUAAGCAUCUCUAGUUACGAACUUGGCUCCAUUAAAGUCGCUGAUGCAGAUGCCUAAAACAUCUUGAAGCAAUCGCCAUAUAAUGAAGUACUGGAAUCUAUGAAGCAAAACCAUUUCUUUUUUUUUUUUCAGAGGAGCGAUCAACGCUUAAAGUUUUACAAUAGUUUACAAUAGCCAGCAGAAAUAUAGCUACUGCGACGAAGUUUUCACGUAUAUAUGUUUAGGCGGACUGCAUAUAGAGAACCAGGCAACAGGAUUAAUUACUCCGAGCGAUUCUUAAAAUGGAGUUUGAAACAACGACAGAUAAGAUAGAUAGCCCAUUACCCAAAAGAUGGUGAAAUAUAGAAAUAUUUUGUGCCUAUCCCUAUUCUAAAUGGUGUUUUGUUUUUAUUUUGUUUUGUUUCUUUGUCCCAUAUUUGCUCGAAAAUGAGAGCUGUAAACAGGAAAUGCAGCCGAAACCAGACUUCAGGUGCGUUGGGUGACAAUCCUGCACGUAUUUUGUUGUAAAAUAACAGUGUACGCGUUGCUGAUAAGUCACGGCAAACGUAACCUAAUGACAACUAUAAACAGCUUCGCACUGAUACAGCCAACUACCAACUAGCCCGCCAGCAAACAUUAAAGCAUUAUGAACAGCUGCUUUUCUAUUUUUCAUCGUCGACAAGUGAUACAUAUGAUCGAAGUUUAUUUCCAAGGAGGUAAGUACCAAAGUGCUGGCACUGAGUCACGUCGGCAGAUUUACACGAUCGCUUCCUGCUUGUGGUGGUGCAAUUCCUUGAUGACUACGUGGUUACCGAGGGUAUCUUGCUACGUAACACUGUAUUUGAUGUAAUAAAGUCUGUGGUUUACGGGAAUGAAAUGGGCCUCCUUGUGUCAUCAUUGACUACAAACAAUCGUAGGAGCCACAUGAAAAACAGCAUGCAGGCGAGCGC